AGCACGUAGGUGGGUUUGUAAGUCAGAUGUGAAAGCCUCCUGUUCAACGGGAGAAUUGCAUCUGAAACUACUGAUCUUGAGUGUAGGAGGGGAGAAUGGAACUUCUGGUGGAGCGGUGAAAUGCGUAGAUAUCAGAAGGAACGCCGGCGGCGAAAGCGAUUCUCUGGCCUAUUACUGGCGCUCAGUGUGCGAAAGCUAGGGAAGCAAACGGGAUUAGAUACCCCGGUAGUCCUAGCCGUAAACGAUGGGCACUAAGUAGAGGGG
rnacentral:rRNA from 1 species